UACAGAGGGGGCGAGCGUUGUUCGGAAUUACUGGGCGUAAAGGGCGCGUAGGCGGCCUUCUAAGUCGAACGUGAAAUCCCCGGGCUCAACCCGGGAACUGCGUCCGAUACUGGGAGGCUUGAAUCCGGGAGAGGGAUGUGGAAUUCCUGGUGUAGCGGUGAAAUGCGCAGAUAUCAGGAGGAACACCGGUGGCGAAGGCGGGACUCUGGGCCGAUACUGACGCUGAGGAGCGAAAGCGUGGGGAGCAAACAGG
rnacentral:rRNA from 1 species